rnacentral:lncRNA from 1 species
GAUUUUUUUAUUAAAGUUUUAUUUAUUUUUACAGUUAAAAAUAGUAUAUGAAUUUUUUUUUUUUUGAAUAAUCGACUGGGCUAUUAUUAAAAGCUUGAAAUAUAAAAGUUCAAGAACAAAAUCCCAGCAGUGCUGGGCUGGAUAAAAAAAAUAAACAAAAAUAAAACGUAGGCUACAAGCCCAAAUAAGUAAAAACAGAAAAUAAAGCCUAAAAAAACAUAAAUCAAAACGUCAUUUCCCAGUCAACUCAACCAGCCUGGCCUCCAUUAUUUUUCAUCUUUUCAUUUCCAAAGCACCAGGCUUUUCAGAUGAUAGCAUUAAAAAUGUCUGCUUUAGCUAUCUCUUGCCGUUUCAUUUCCAUUCCAUCAAAUCCUUUCAAUCAGGUUUUCGUGGCCAUCUUUCUCCUGAGUCCAGAUCUUCUCUCGUCUCUUCCACCAGGUAACUCCCUUUCCCUUUUCUUAGUGCCUCUUUCGCCAGGUCAUGCGCCUUACCAUUCUCUGUUCUUUGUAUGAAUCGAAAAACAAUGUUUUGGAAUCGAUUUUUGUUGUUCUGAAUAUCAAUCAUGAUCGCACUUAGAACCGAUUUAUCUUUGACCCCUACUUUGCACCUGUUGAUUAUUGUUUUCGAAUCCCCCAUUACCGUGACUGAGUUAAAGCCCAAUCUAAUGCCUAAUCUGGUUGCUUCUAAACAUGCCAAUGCUUCUGCUACAAACAGAGAGGAAAUGUUGGAGUGAAGAGUGGACUUAGAGACUACGAUUUCCCCAUUUUGACCCCUGGCUACCAUUCCUGAUGCUGAUUUGGAGUUGGUGUCGAAAGCUGCGUCAAACUGUAUGGACUUCCCUAGUACCUCUUCUCUGUGUUCGGAUCUACCAGUCGUGGUGGUAAUUUUUCUUUCUCGCACAACUUCAAGCUCUCCUAAGUAACUCUGUACUUUAAUAGUUAGAUCCCUUCCUGAUGAACUCUUCCUUUCAUGGAGCAUCUGAUUUCUCGAGCUCCAGAUAACCCAUAAGGUGCAACAAAAAAUACGGAUCUGCUCCUUUGUUCCUCUACUGAAUACCCAAGUGAGCCAUGACCAUGUAUUCUGAUCUGUAUGUUCUGUUACCCAUGCCAUAUUGAGACUAAUCCAUGCAUCCAUGCUUAUAGGACAUUGUCUGAACACAUGAAAGCUGUCUUCUUCUUCAGAACAACCACGUGGACACCUUGCAGUAGUGGUCACUCUCUUUUGUCUGAGGUUAGCAAGUGAAGGGAUGUAGUUCCAAGAUAUUCGCCAUACGAGAAUUAGGAUUUUUGUUGGUAACUGUAAACUCCAUAAUUUCCUGUAGAAAUCUUUGGUAUCGGUCUGUAAUAAAUAAUUACUAGGAUCCAAGCUAGCUUCUUGUAAUAGUUUGUAGGCAAUUUUAAUACGAGGUAUAUGUGAUACAUUAUGUGACUUUCAUCAGUUAUAUUAGUUUUUAAUAGAAAUGACUAAUUUACUCUUUGAGCAAAAUGUAAUUUGACUCUUAGGGUGCGUUUGGUUCGCUGUAUUGGAUUAGAGGUGUAUUGGAUUAGAGGUGUAUUGGGAUUAGAGGUGUAUUGGAUUAGUGGUGUAAUAGCUAAUCCACUGUUUGGUUGAAUGUAAUGGAAUAGAGGCGUAAUAGUAAUCUUGUGUUUGGUUGAAUGGAAUAGAGGUGUAAUAGCAUAAUGGAAAAAACUAAAAUGACUAGAAUACCCUUAGCAUAAAAUUAUUUUGGUAAAUGAUUAUUGUUAUUGUUAUUUAAAUUUUAAUAAGAU